UACUUUUUUGAGUGCUCUUUACGUUUCCUAUACUUAAGACCUGGUGAAACCAUCUUCUGACCACUGGUUAUUAAAAACAAACAAAAAUUUAUUGGCACACCUAUGGAAUUUUUUAAGACCAAGCUGGACUUAAACUGACCACGAGUUAUCGAGGAGUUUAAAACGGCGCAUAAAUACGCUUUGGUCGUUUUACAGACUACUCGCACUGCUUUCCACUUUGGCCACACGCCACGCUCGGUCCUCGGAUCCUCCAUACGUUAGCUCAGCGCGAUAAAGUCAAGUUGUCAAUAAUUACUAUAUUCAGUUCUUGCCACGGAAGGACCAACGGUCUCAGCGAAACGAAAAUGAUAUCCACUCACGGCCUUACUGCCAUAACCAUCAUGCUUGUGAGCCUGGUGUGGCCAGCCCCUGUGCUAUCACUGACGUGUGCCUCCUGCAGUGCAUCGAAGGGCGACACUGGCGACUGCAAAACUACAGUUACUUGUCCGUCUACAGCCAAGCCCGACUUUACAUCCUGUGGCAUGAACUAUGACGCAACCUCAAAAAAGUUCGCGUUUUCCGGGUGCGCGAAAUCGACUUUUGAUGGCAGCGGAUGCCUGUCGUCAUCCUGCGCUUGUAAGACCGAUUCGUGUAACGCAAAGGACACCCUUCCUGCGGAUUUUCCCAAAGCGUCAGGGCAAGUUAACGUGGUGUACGGAGCCGGGACCGCCGCGGGCGAGGAAAUUCGCGCACAGCACUAUUUAACUGGAUUGGGUAUCAUGCUGUCCGUGAUCCUCCUGCACCGUCAUUCAUAUUAGCGUGCGCCGAAAUUUGCGCUUCUUCGUGACUUUUCUGCCACAUUCGCACAAAACAAGCAACUGUGUUAUCGUAAACUUUUAAAUCUUUGUAAAAAAACAGCUCAUACUGUGCUUUAUGGCCUAUGAUAAAGUAUCUUAAUUUUA